rnacentral:rRNA from 1 species
AUUGAACGCUGGCGGCAGGCCUAACACAUGCAAGUCGAACGAGUGGCGGACGGGUGAGUAAUGUCUGGGGAACUGCCCGAUAGAGGGGGAUAACUACUGGAAACGGUAGCUAAUACCGCAUACCAUCGGAUGUGCCCAUAUGGGAUUAGCUAGUAGGUGGGGUAAAGGCUCACCUAGGCGACGAUCACUAGCUGGUCUGAGAGGAUGAUCAGCCACACUGGAACUGAGACACGGCCCAGACUCCUACGGGAGGCAGCAGUGGGGAAUAUUGCACAAUGGGCGCAAGCCUGAUGCAGCCAUGCCGCGUGUAUGAAGAAGGCCUUCGGGUUGUAAAGUACUUUCAGCGGGGAGGCGUUACCCGCAGAAGAAGCACCGGCUAACUCCGUGCCAGCAGCCGCGGUAAUAC